AGUUGUUUAGCUUAAUAAAAGCUUGUAUCUUGAAAAUACACUAUAAAGUAUAGAAUCUUUAAUAACUUC
rnacentral:tRNA from 1 species